rnacentral:rRNA from 1 species
AGCAGUAGCCACGGUAAUACGGAGGGUGCAAGCGUUAAUCGGAAUUACUGGGCGUAAAGCGUGCGCAGGCGGUCCGCUAAGACAGAUGUGAAAUCCCCGGGCUCAACCUGGGACCUGCAUUUGUGACUGGCGAGCUAGAGUAUGGCAGAGGGGGGUAGAAUUCCACGUGUAGCAGUGAAAUGCGUAGAGAUGUGGAGGAAUACCGAUGGCGAAGGCAGCCCCCUGGGCCAAUACUGACGCUCAUGCACGAAAGCGUGGGGAGCAAACAGGAUUAGAUACCCCCGUAGUCCCUGUCUCUUAUAC